UAUGACAGAUUAUCUCGCGAGAUAACGUCACGCGUUCUUCCGGAAGUUCACAUUCAAACAGGAGGAGCGGUUACGAGGGAGUUUUGUCUAUAUAUUAUGCAAAAUCUACUGUUGGGAAAAGCAGAACCUCAUCCAAAUAAAAAUAAACAAGCUGUUAAAGGCACUGUGUCCUACACAGACCCUCCAAAAUAUAACCACCCAAAACCCAAGUCAGUUGAAGAUCAACACAAACCAAAUGAAGAUGCACAUUCUACAAACAAUAAAAAAAAGAUCAAGUUUUGUGUCCAACACACUUGGAUGAGACGUGCCCGACCCCUGACUUUGUCUACCCUACAUUAAGUUGCACACUUCAUGACAGUAAACAUCUGUAUCAAGAUGGUGUGAUUGAUCUAUACCCUAGAAUAAGCUGUGACACUAUGAGACGGUCACAUAAUGAACAGCCAUCUUACAGACACCCGAAAGAGGCAUAG